UCCGCAUUGGUGUAGGGGUUAACAUUUCACGUUUUCAGUCCAAGGUCUUGGGUAGAAGUACCGUGAAGCCCGGGGUUCGAUUCCCCGAUGCGGAG